rnacentral:rRNA from 1 species
AGUGAACGCUGGCGGUAGGCCUAACACAUGCAAGUCGAACGGCAGCACAGUAAGAGCUUGCUCUUACGGGUGGCGAGUGGCGGACGGGUGAGGAAUACAUCGGAAUCUACUUUUUCGUGGGGGAUAACGUAGGGAAACUUACGCUAAUACCGCAUACGACCUACGGGUGAACGCAGGGGAUCUUCGGACCUUGCGCGAUUGAAUGAGCCGAUGUCGGAUUAGCUAGUUGGCGGGGUAAAGGCCCACCAAGGCGACGAUCCGUAGCUGGUCUGAGAGGAUGAUCAGCCACACUGGAACGGAGACACGGUCCAGACUCCUACGGGAGGCAGCAGUGGGGAAUAUUGGACAAUGGGCGCAAGCCUGAGCCAGCCAUACCGCGUGGGUGAAGAAGGCCUUCGGGUUGUAAAGCCCUUUUGUUGGGAAAGAAAAGCAGCAGGUUAAUACCCCGCUGUUCUGACGUUACCCAAAGAAUAAGCACCGGCGAACUUCGU